rnacentral:lncRNA from 1 species
GGGGUAUAGUGCAUACUCCAUCCCAUAGUCCACCCCUGUGUAACGCAUGCCCAUCAUGGGGUAGCAUCCCUGCAGUAUAUGUCCAUCGUGGGGGUGAGGAAUUAGCCCCUUAAGUUAGGCCCUACGACACGGAUCCAAAGUAUGGCUUCCACGUGUGACGCACGGUCAAUGUCUUCAUUCUAAACCUUCCCCAACCCAACCUAUCUCACCCU